rnacentral:rRNA from 1 species
CCUACGGGGGGCAGCAGUGAGGAAUAUUGGUCAAUGGGCGAGAGCCUGAACCAGCCAAGCCGCGUGAAGGAUGACGGCCCUACGGGUUGUAAACUUCUUUUGUCAGGGAGCAAUUGGGUCCACGCGUGGGCUUAGCGAGAGUACCUGAAGAAAAAGCAUCGGCUAAUUCCGUGCCAGCAGCCGCGGUAAUACGGGGGUUGCGAGGGUGAUCCGGAUUUAUGGGGUUUAAAGGGUGCGUAGGCGGAAUAUCAAGUCAGCGGGAAACGUUCGGGGCUCAACCCCGUCGUGCCGUUGAAACUGAUGUUCUUGAGUGGACGAGAAGUAUGCGGAAUGCGUGGUGUAGCGGUGAAAUGCAUAGAUAUCACGCAGAACUCCGAUUGCGAAGGCAGCAUACCGGC